rnacentral:lncRNA from 1 species
CUUGUGUCCAUGGAUCUCUCAAAGCAGCUGAGGAUUGUGGGGCAACCAUCUUGUCCAGAGACCACGUAUUGAAACCAGGAUUUAUUAUCUUUGUUAAUUUCCUUCGCUUUUCUCUGUGAAAGAGAAACCCAAAUUUACAAAGAAAGUGGAAGAAGUGGGAUUCUCAAGCAGAGCUUUUAAUCACUGCUACACAGAAUGUUACUAACAGUGAAAAUGAGGCAGCCUAAAGGCAGAACAAUACUGGAUGAACAACAACCAGAAAAACCCCAUCAUCGUCAUAAGAGCUGCAAAUCAAAGCAAGGGUAAGAGAGAAGGAGAAUGGACACUGGAGGCCUUUGCUUGGGGCCAGCCCUCACUACAAAGCAGAAGGUCAGCAACUCUGGAGGGAACAAAGGACAGCAUGCUGGCCUUGAAAAAGAUUUUAAAGCCAUCAUCAUAAAACUGAUUUGGUAUAUGGGAAAAAUUUAAGAAAAUUAUCUAAGAAACUGGGGGA